AGGAUAAACGCUGGCGGCGUGCCUAACACAUGCAAGUCGAACGCCCUUGAGCAAUCAAGGGAGUGGCGGACGGGUGAGUAACACGUGGGUACCUACCCCAAGGUGAGGAAUACCGGCGAGAAAUCGCCGACAAUACCGCAUAGGCUUCGUAAGAAGCAAAGCUCGCAAGGGCGCCAUGGGAAGGGCCUGCGGCCGAUUAGCUGGUUGGUGAGGUAAAAGCUCACCAAGGCGACGAUCGGUAGCUGGUCUGAGAGGAUGAUCAGCCACACUGGGAUUGAGAACGGCCCAGACUCCUACGGGGGGCAGCAGUGAGGAAUCUUGCACAAUGGACGAAAGUCUGAUGCAGCAACGCCGCGUGGGGGAUGAAGCUUCUCGGAGUGUAAACCCCUUUCGACCCGGAAGAAUGCCCGCAAGGGUAUGACGGUACGGGUAUAAGAAGCCCCGGCUAACUACGUGCCAGCAGCCGC
rnacentral:rRNA from 1 species